rnacentral:rRNA from 1 species
GACGAACGCUGGCGGCGUGCUUAACACAUGCAAGUCGAACGGAAAGGCCCCUUCGGGGGUACUCGAGUGGCGAACGGGUGAGUAACACGUGAGUAACCUGCCCUUGACUUCGGGAUAACUUCAGGAAACUGGGGCUAAUACCGGAUAGGAAUCCUUGCUGCAUGGUGGGGGUUGGAAAGCUUCGGCGGUUUUGGAUGGACUCGCGGCUUAUCAGCUUGUUGGUGGGGUAGUGGCUUACCAAGGCUUUGACGGGUAGCCGGCCUGAGAGGGCGACCGGCCACAUUGGGACUGAGAUACGGCCCGGACUCCUACGGGAGGCAGCAGUGGGGAAUAUUGCACAAUGGGCGGAAGCCUGAUGCAGCAACGCCGCGUGCGGGAUGACGGCCUUCGGGUUGUAAACCGCGUUCAGCAGGGGCGAAGCUUGUGGUGACGGUACCUGCAGAAGAAGCACCGGCUAACUACGUG